rnacentral:lncRNA from 1 species
UUUGACUUUGUUCAAUGCAAUUUAAUUGUUUUUACACGUUUUUGUUAAGUUUUUACACGUUUUUGUCCCUAUUUAUGGUAGAUAUAACCUAUGUUACAAUCUCCCCCUAUAAAUACACCUCUAAACUUCCCCAUUUCCUCACACCAUCUCACAUUCUCACUCUCCUCCUCACUCUCCCCCCAUGAAUCUUGUCCCUUUUCUUCUUUUUUUUGUUCUUUAUUUUGGUGUAAAAAGAGAAAGAAUGAUAAGUAGUGGGAAUGUUGGGGAAAAGAUAAGUAGUGAGCAGCUUUCUUGGAAAAAGAAUCUGAUUGGGUAAAACUAAAUGUGCAGAUUUAGUUUUACCCCAGAGAGGUCGGUUUUCUGGUGGUUUUCUUUUAGUUUUACCCCAGGGAGAUCGGUUAUCUGGUGGUUUUCUUUUAGUUUUAUGCCAGGGAGGUAGGUUUUCUGGUGGUUUUUAUUUUUUUCGCAGAUUUAGUUUUACCCCAUUGUAAAUGUAAUAAAAAUUAUAUUAAUAAAAUGAUAUUUUAUAUCUAUUAUUUUUGUUUCUUUAUUUUUGUUAAUUGUUGCAUUUAUUUUAUGAUUGAUUGCGUGCGUGCGUACUGAAUUAAAAAUUCGAGUAAAUUCAAUAAAUAAAUUAGAAUAAAUUCAGCGUGAAUUCGAAUAAAAAUUGCGACAACGUGAAUUCGAAUAAAAAGUCUAAUUAAGAUUUUGUUACAUUACAUAAACGACGUGUAUGUCAACAAUAACAUUACAUUGCAAGCACCUUCCAACUACAACAAUUGUCUUACCCAUGAAUGGGGCAAACUCAAACUUGCUAAGCAGCAAGACUCCAAUAUUCGAUCAGCAUUUUGAACGCUGGUAUUCAAGUGUCAAAAGAAUGAGGUGCAUUACUUGACACUUGAAUACCAGUGUUCAAGACGCUGGGCGAAAUGCUUGAGUCAUGGCCGUUUGACAAGUUUGAAUUACCCCAUUUCAGAGGUAAGACAAUUGUUGUAGUUGGAAUGCACCUUACCCUAACUAAUGACGAUCUUCUGGCGGAAUCAAGUUGUUGAUGAUAUCUUCAGUUGAUCUCAGCAACGUUACAUGCAUAUCGAUCCAUUGGAACAUGUUGUGCUCCCAAAACAUGCUCAUCACAUUUUCGUCGUUCUUUAACUCUACCCAAGUGAAUGAUACUCUCCCCUCGUCGAGCAUUGGACGUUUAUACCGAACGUAUUCCACCCUCCUUGCGUCUCUGGGGUUGACUCCUUGGUUGAAUUCAGUCAGUUCAUCCUUGAGACCUCUUAACGUUAAAUCAAGGCACCGAACCUUCAACCUUUGAGGUUCUCCGCUGUUGAACUCUGCAUGAACGUCGAUCCAUUCGGCCAUUGCUUCAAAUCUACACAAUAAGAAAUUAAACACAAUCAAUGAAAAACUUAUUCCAACAUUUUAUCAAACACUUGGAGUGCAAAUUAUACAUAAACCCUAAAAAUGAUAACUACAACAUGAACGUGCAAACAUCUAAAUAAUUAAGCAAUAUUACUCAUUUGCAUGUAACAUUGGGUCAUAUGCUGCAACAAAAAAAAAUUAAACAAACCCUAAAUCUAAAAAAAUCUAAUCUAAGUGUAUAAAAACUACAAUAGUAUCUAAAGUUCUAAACAUCAUAACAAUUAAGCACUAUAAGUCAUUUGCAUGUAACAUUCUAUCAUUUCUUGCAAAAAAAAUUAAAAUUUUAACAAAACAAUAGACCUAAAAAAUUCUAGAUUAAGUGAAAAAGUCUAUCAUACCAACAUAAUUUAAGUGAAAGCUUACUUGUUCUUGUUGUUUUAGUGUUGUUUGAUUUGAAGUUGAAGGAAUUUUGGAGUUGCAUAAUUUGAGAGAAAAUUGAGAUCUGUGUGUGUUGUGUUUGAAAAUGAUGCACGAUGAGGUUCUGCCUGGACUAAUAACAGCACGUAGCGUGACUUAAGUUGUGUUCCUCUUAUAACUAGCGCAACUUAAGUCACGCUACGCAUGUUAACAUGCGUAGGGGCAUUUUGGACAUUUACUUUGGGAAUGAGCGAUACUAUUUAGGUAAUGAGCAGAAUUCAUAUAUUAUUAUUUUCAGUGCAAUUUUUUUUAAAAAAAAUAUAUAUUUUUUGGGCCCAAAAUUGGAGAGGUCCGGCUUCAUUGAGCUGUUUGCAUCUUCCUAGAGACGGCCCUGGACUUAAAGUAGAUAUAGAACUCGAGACUACCUUAUCAUUCUACUCCUUAUCUCAUUUGUCUAGCUUUAAAGAGUCAAAAGUUAGAGGAAAGAUUAAAGAUUAGUGAAAGAUGAAACAUUAGUUGAAAGUUUAUGCCAAGGUGUAUGCUUGUCUGAAUAAAUGAUUGUCAGUGGUAGUAAUCUUCACGUCAAAAAUAUUUUUUUUGGAAUUGUGUUAUACUCAACAUAAAUUAUGAGAUGGCAUGUUACAAUUUAAGAAAGGUUUCAUUCUUAGAGUUAGCUCUAAGUUUUAAAAUUGGUUGAGACAAUCUUAUAUCCACGCACUGUAGUCAAUAGUGAUAAACGUAAAAGAGUGUAUUAAAAAGUCACAUGUUAGAUAUAUGGCAAGUUUUAGUACGGGUAAAUUAUCAAAUUUUCCCAUCUUAGAUCAAUUUUGUUUUACUUGUAAUGAGUUGUACUCCCUAUUCUUUUAUAUUCCGAUUUGUACCCUUGACUCAAAAUUAUAAUUUAAACUCAAUUAAUUUAUUUAUUUCUUUAUCGCAGGGAGAUACAAUAUUUUUUUAACACUUCUGCUAACCUUUUCCAACCCCAUUCUCAAUAAAAAGAAAACUUAAUAUAAAAACAUAGACCAAAAAAUGUGACUAACAUUUUCCUACUUCAGAUUUUAUUUCUUAAUCUCCUCAAAAAAGAAAAGAUUUCAAUUAUUUACCCUUCAGAUUUUAGUGAAAAACGUUAUUUCAAAAAUAAAUAUUAUCACUUUAUUUAUUUUUAUUUUUACAUGAAUAUGACUUGGUUCAUAAAAAAUAAUAAAUAUACAUCGUCAAAAUUCAUAUUAUUUGUGAAAUAGUUAUUAAGAUCAUCAUUUAAUAAUAUUAAAUUUACCUUGUUUUUGAAAUAAAAAACUAUAAAAAUAAAAUCAAGAAGUUAAUGGCAAAUUCUACCACAUGCCAAAGGAAAUGAACAAGUUCAACUAUAUUCCUGAAAAACACAAGAAUUAAAAAAUUAAUUCUAAAAUAUAUCAUGUUUACGUCAAACAACAACUCAAAUAAAUGAUAUCAAUAUAAAAAUUUAUAAUAAACAAAGUGAAUAGAGAGUUAUUAGUUUGAGUUAACCGUUAAAGAAGUUAGUGAUUCUGACUUCAAACCGAACGAAUGAAGAAAUAUUAAUUUAAAUACUAACAUUUAUCGAGUUUUUCUAUAUAAUAAAGAAAAUGAAAUAUUGAUUUUGAUAAAAAAAAAAAAAAACAGAAAGUAAAACAAAACUGUUUUCAACAUGUUCUAAUUUUAUAAAUAUAUCAAACCUAGGUGAUUUGUACAAUUUCAAAUAAUGGUACAUCAGUUUCUUAAAAUUAAAAUCCAUCUAGGAUAUAUGCCAAUUUCCCCAAUUCAAAUCUCUAUUAAUAUUAAAUCAAUGGCCCUUAUUAAAUUGAUCUAAGAUGGAGAAAUAUGCCAAUUUCCCCAUGCUAAACGCUGCCUAGAUAUAUUAGAUGAGAUUAAGUCUUAUCGUAGUAGAUAGGAAUAAUACAUAAUUUUUGCAAAGUUUGAGGUAUGAAUCAUGGAAAAAAAAUGAGAUUAAGUAAGGACAGUCUUCGGUUGAUAAAUCAAUUUUCUAAGAUGUUACUCUUUAACUUAACUCAACUCUCUUACCGAGCACCAAACCAAUCUUACUUCUCCAUUUCGAUUGGGAUCUUAAAAUAAUAUUUUACAUAAAAUUUCUUGUAUGUCGUAAUAGCCUUUUCCUCCCCUGUUGAAAAAAAUCUCUCCACACCUCCUUUAAUUUAUUUAUUUUAAAAAAAGCAUUUAUUUAGGAAGAAAAGAGUAGAAGAAUGGAUAUGGAUCAGUCAAAGUGAUGGAAGGAGAACAUAUCGGUUGCGUGGCGUGUAGUUAUAUUGCCACGUAAUUACAAAAGACACUCAUCCAAUUUACAAGGCCAAAUGAAAAUCUACAUAAUGCAUUAGGAGUAAGGUUGUCUUCAACUUUUGUGGUGGCAUAGUUAGGUGAAUAGGUGGUGAAAUUGAAAUUAUCAUAUGAUAAAUGGAAAAACAGAGCCAGAAAGAGCAAAAACUGGGAGAAGGACCUCAAAUCUCAACGAUGGAGCCAGUCACACAUGGCGCUUAUGGUGGUGGAAUGUAUGGCACAGAAAAAGGGCAACCAGAAAAACAAACCAAACAACCAGCAAGUGAGACUCAAAGUGCUGAUGGUCCUGUUGAUAAGGACACUAUCAAGCCCAAACAUAAUCCUCCUCCUUCAUCUGGGGAUCGUGAUAUAGACAUCACUGGCCAGUCCUAUAUCCAGUAAUAACAACAUAUAUGUAAAAUACUUAGCCUAAUUAGUAUAAUUAGGACGUUAUUUUCUGAUCUUAAAAUAUAUAUUAAUUAGGACGUUCAUCUUUUAAUUUAAGGGGUCUUUUUUGUUUCUGUUGUCAUUGGUGGCUGUAUUUUCUUUUAAUAAGUUUUCUUCCAUCAUUUCCCUCAUGUAUAAACUGUGGUGAUCCACUUCGUAAUGUUAAUGAGCGUGUAAGGAUCAAAUGGAAUGGUAAUUUAUUUAUUUUGGUUUGAAAAUCGAAUGGUAAUUUAAACUUUUGCCUAACUUCAAUGUUUAAUUAUGAUUAUUUUGUUAAAGUGUAUCAAAUAAUUAGUGUUUGUUUAUGUCAUUCCUAUAGAGAAAGAAGGAACAUUUUUAUUAUUUAGAGCACGUUAUAUUUUAGCUAUCAUUCAAUGUUUAUUAUUUAGAACAGCUGAGUUUUCUGCAGGCGCAUGCAUUAGAGCGGUAGUUUUUCACCCUUCCCCCUUUAUGCCCCACUAGAUCACUUAUCAAUGAAAAAAUAAUUGGAACAACUCUCUCUUUUUGUGAAAUAAGAGUUAUCAUAAUAGAAAUAGAAACUCUUGCAACAAUACGUGUAGAAGAACAUGGAAAUUGAGCAGGAGAAUAAUAUGUAAAAUGGUGGGUAGGUGGGUCAAUUUGAGUUUUAAAGUGGUUUGAAGUUAUAAAUAUUUUGGACAAAUUCCUAGAAGUGAUGUGGCUAGUUCAAUUCAACUUUGGUGAAAUUAAUUGGUGAAAUGUUGCAAUUUAUUCUUCCUACAUAGAAAAAAUCUAAUAGAAUCUUCUGGAUUCAAACCUUACAGUUAGAGUUACAUUAUAGCUGGGAGAGCAUAAUCAAUCUUGUGUGUUUGACAUCUUCUCCAACACAGAUUAUUGUUUGAGCCAUUAAACUACUUCCUCGGUCUCAAAAAAAUUAUUAUGAGAAGGAAGUACAGUACAUGCGAAAUGAAAUCAAUUUUGUUGAAGAAUGGGGUUUACAAAUUUCUUCAAUGGGAGGGGCAUUCCAUUGGCCAGUGAUAUUUUUUCAACUGAACAAAAUCACGAACGCAAUCGUCAAAUUUCAAAGAUUGAUUUGCUUCCUAGCAUUAGCAAAUUUCUCUCCAGCAACUCUAUCAAAAAUCUUCUCCCAACCAUCUUCCCAACUCAAUCGGUACUAGCUGCCAAAUGAAUAAGAUGGAGAACCAGCGUGAGUUAACUCAUGCAACGUGACUUAAGUCAUGCAUGUAUAAAAUUAAAUCAUGUUUGAUUUACACAAUUAACUAGCGCAGAGGUAUUUUUAAAAUGGUUGCAGGACGCGAGUGUUUUGUGCUGAGUGAAGAACAUAAAUCAUGUUUUUUAUUCGCCCGAGAAGCAUUAGAUCAAAGAGAUCACAUAGCAACAAAAUUUAUUGGUAACUCAAGUCCGAUCCAACACAAAAAUAUAUCAACAAAUCUUAUGGUUUGAAUUAUUCAAGGGCAAGUCGUCCAUCAACUAUUUGUUAAUACAAGUUGCUUAGCUUCUUUAUAUUUGAACCUCUGUUAUUAUCAAGAGCAAGUCAUCCAUCAACUAUUUGUUAAAAAAGAUACUCUUAGGCGAUAAAAUAUGAAUUACUUUAAAAUUAGCUAAGGUAAAUUUCUCUUUCAAAGAUAUUGGCAGUAUUUUUUUUUUUUUGAAGAAAGAUAUUGGCAGUAUUAUUCAUUGAUGACACCGCUUGCAUGAGUAAAUAGAAUUUUCGCUUACAAAAAAUAAAGGUAUAAAAAAAAUUAAACAAAUUAAUACAUUUUAAUUGGAUCUUUGUCUUGUUUCUAAUAUUAAGGUCCAAAGAAAAACCUAAAAUAAAAGACCAAUAGAAGCUACUUUUUCCUUUAUUGAAAUGUCACUUCAAUUUUAUUUAUUAUUUCAUUUCUAAACAAUUCUUCAAUAUGUAGUAAUUGAACUGUUUUCACCAACAUGAAGCGUCGUGAUUUGGAGAUAAUCGAGUAUAUUAAGCAUAUAACAGUAGAUUACCAAUGAGUCUCUACUUGACCCUAACCCUACAAAAAAAGUGUGUUCAGUGUCAACAAAAAUCAGGACGUUGUAAGGCAAAAAUAUGGAUGCAAACAAAUUUUUGGGGCCUGCAUCCAAACAUUCACGACAAUAAAAGCUUUGAAGAUAAACACUAGCAUCCUAUUGAUGUUAAUUAGCAUUUACAAAGAUGAACGUCAAAAUUGAAGUUUAUUUUGUAUUAAAAGUGUACAUAAAUACAAACGUGUGAUAAUCUAUAAAUUUGGUUAUUGUCUUGUGUUGUAUUUUUAUUAAUUUUAUUAAUUUAUUUUAAAGUUAAUAUUUUGUUUGACAACUAGGGAACACAUGGAAGAAUGGUGGAUAAUUUACCCCAACCAAUACAUAUUAGCCACAUAAGCCCCUUUUUAAUUGGUAUCCAUAAACUAUCUUGACACCACCAACAAAUUGCUCAUUUUCAUUGGUUGGUGGGUAAAUUACCCACCAUUCUUCAAAAGUAAUCUAGAAAAAACAUUCAUAUAUAUAUAUAUAUAUAUAUAUAUAUAUAUAUAUAUAUAUAUAUAUAGAGGGCAUAUCAAGUGAGCAUAUCAAGUGAGAGCACAUCUUAUAAUGAGAGGAUGAAAUAAUAACCCUUGGAUUAAAAUAAAUGGUUGUGAUUAUGUUUCUUUUAGUGAGUCUUAACUACCCGAUUUUUUCCAACUUCCUUGUGACCAACGCUGUCUCACUCUCUCUCCCCGUUGAAACCUUUUUCUUCCAUAUUCCUCUUUGCAUCAAUCUUCUUUGCAUGCUGAAAAAACAUCACUGAUUCAAUGAUGCUGACGAUUAUCCGACCUCUUUGCAUCAGUCUAUGGUUAAUUUUUUAAAAUUAAAUUGAUUAUAAUCAAUCUAUCAUUCCUCUUCUGAUUUACAUAUUCCAAUUAAAUUGCAAACGAGAUCGGCGACGGCAAAAGACAAAUUGCGACAACAAAGCCUUGGGAAGCUGCUACAACGGUGGAGAUGGAAAGAGAACAAGUGUAGAAUCAUAAAAAGAAGGGGAAAAAAUCAUCUGUAAUUAAAUGUGUAUGGAUCUGUUAAAUCUGACCCAUCUAAUUUAAUUUAAUGGCUAUUAAUGAGUCCUCUCAUCUCUCACAAUAUAUAUAUAUAUCCUAAAUAAAUAAUGAUAUCAUCAUUAUUUAUUCUGUGAGGAACGUUUUCCACAUGUUUCAUGUUACCUACCGCUGGCGCAUUGAAUAUUACUUGGUCAAAUCUAAUUAAUAGCAAAAACGGUUUUUGCUUGGUCAAAUGUGUGUAACGUUAACAUUGAAAACAAUUGAUAUAAAAAGUCUCACAUGUCUGAAGGAUAUAGGCAGGAAAAAAAGCUACGACAAUUCCCAUAUACACAUAUAUUUGAGAGUUGUAAUAUUGUUCACGUGCCCUUGCUAUUUCACGUGCAGUGUUAGUGCUGAAAAGCACUAGUCUUGAGGCCAACUGCAUCAGGUGAUUGACCUGUGGCGGCGAAACGGCGAAAUGCACGCCUCAGCCAACGAUCGAUAAGUUCUUCCUUUCUUCUUUAUUUUACUGAGAAUUAUAUUUAUAAUUGCGGUGAUAUUUCUUGAUUAUUAUCUUUGUUUAUUAAUUAAUUCUAUGUCAAUUUUCCAACAAUUAUUGUAGGAGAAAGUAGGACAUAGAAUUAUUAUAAGGUAAUAAGCAAUAAGAAAUAUUAACAUCAAAUUAAUAGAACUCUAAAUAUAAUAUAAUAGAGAACAACUAAACUUAUCGAUUAUUGGUUGAGGCGUGCAUGAAGCACUGGGCUGAAGAGUAUUUUGCCAUCCCGGAUAAAUAACCCGAUGCGAUAGGUCUCAUAGCUAAUACUCUGCAGGAUACAACAAUCACUUCUUCCUAGCACCGCAUGUGAAUUAGCAAGGUCUCAGGAACCACUUAUUUAGAUUGCUCAAGGGAACUCUAUUCAAGGGAACUCUAAAUGAAAUAAGAUAGAUGUCCAAGCAGCUAGCAACCCAUCUAUGUGCAUAGGUUCUCUGUUCUCUCUGGGCAUACUUCCUCAAAACCACUUAUUGAUAUUAUGUAGACUGUCCCAAACCCACUUAUUAAUAUUAUGUAAACACGUACAAAUUAAUUCCUAUGUAGGUGGUCAAACGAAACCGAAAGUGUGGUAGAAUGAUUCAAAGCUUUCAAUGUUAUGCCAAGUGAAUUGCAACUGCCAUUUUGACUAGGUAAUGUAAUAAAUAAAAAACGUGCAUGACUUGGAGUAUAAAUAGGAAACACAUAGGAUACCACCAAGUCAAGAGAAAAGCUAAUUAAUAAUAAUUAAUAAAAUAAUAAUAGAUAUAAUAAUACUUUAAAAUAAAUUAGUAAAUAAAAUUCCAACGAUCUCCACAAUUUAUUUUAAAGUUUUAUAGUGUGAAAAAUCAAUGCAUAAGCACUAGUGUCUUUUGGACUAUGAACUAGCACAUAGAGCAAAUGAAAUUUGAUCCACUAAAAUAUCAGUGAGAUUAUAACCUCUAUGAACCUCAUUCCGUAUGUAGAUUAAACACACAACUCAAAUAUAUGAGCUAUAGAUUUAUUAAGAGUUUAUAAACCCAACCUUCAACGUUGUAGUUUACACUACACCAUAGGGAUGAAUUCUCAAAAAUAAAAUGGAUAAUGUUUCAUCAAAUUGACAAAUGACUUGUUCUUACCCUUAUGAACAUAAUCUUGCAAAUUUUCACAAUUUAUGUUGGGUUACCAUCACUCUCAAUUUUUGUAUUGGGAAAAUAAAUUAAAUCCACACAAAUAUAAAUUUUUCAAAUCAUUGUAUUAUUUAAUACAAUGGAUAAUCCACAAUAUGUCACCAAUAUUUUAAGGUGAAUCUCAAUGUAUAUAUCUCAUUAGUUUAACAAGUGCCACAAAAAUAUAUUUAGAUCUGCUUAGAUUAUUCCUAAGCGACAACAUCUCUAUUUGCACUUCAAAAAGAUUUCACAAGUUUAAGAAUUCUAUCAAAGAAGAAUUUAAGAAUUCUAUCAAAGAACUCAGACAAAAACUCACUAAAACAUGUUUGAGGAUCAGAUUUCUAGCAAUUAGAAUACACAUAUGAGACGUAAUCAAAUGUACACAACUAUAUGAAUUCACAAAGCUCAAAUACAUAAAUAAGAAUAAAUUAUCCGAUGUUGCUAACAUUUGCAUUAAAUCGCCAGUUAUCCAAUUCAAACCACCAUAUUCCUAGAAUCAUAAAAUUUCUUGAUGGCUGGCAUAAUUUAUCAUGUUAGUAUGAUUCUAAAAUAUUGGCACAAUGUUUUCAGACUCAACCCAACACAUCUAACUCUGAUAUUAUGUAGUUAAGAAUGCAAACAACAGACACAUGAUCUAAUUCAUUCAUAGUUAUUCUGACACGCUAUUAUCAUAAUUUUCCAUAUAAUUCCAAUUCAUUACAUCUUCUCACACUAUAUCCUAGUGCCACGGUUUAAAGUAAGCUCAAGAAUAAAUUAUCAUACAUCAUGAGUGAACAUCACAGUAUAAACACAAAAAAAAAAAAAAAAAUUGUAAAAAAUCCUUCGGUGAGCAUGUGCAUAUAAUAUGUCCUUUCAACAAAAUAUCUAUGAACAUAUUUCACAAAUUAUAAAGUGAACAUAUCAAUGUAUUUUAUAAUAACAUAAUUUUCCUGCUUUUGCAAAUAUCCCUCAAUUUCCAAUUUAUAUAAACACUUCAUCACUAUACUCCUUGAGACGUAGAACAGUUAUAAGUUCAAGAAAACAUUCGGUUUUAAACACAAUGAUCAUAAUAUGUACUUGCAAACAAUGUUCCACAAAUCGCGUGUCAAUUCGGCGAGUUUACCGAGUUUACGUGUUUAGGUGCUAAAAACGUGUUAACUUGGAGGUAAACUUGAUUUCUGGUAAAAUCGGAAAGUUUGACGAGUUUGACCGAGUUAACACUCAGUAAACUCGUGUGAAAUCGGGCAAGUUAACCGUUUUUGCGAGUUUACUCCUGUUUUUUUUUCUUCAAAAAUGGCCCAUUGUUUUGGCCCAUUUUUUUCAAGCCCAAAUGAAAACAUAUUUACUUUCUAGCUUUACAACACGUUUAAGCUUACUGAAGUGAAACAUUUCAUAUCAUUUUCUUAGAGUUUUCAAGAACAGGGGAGCGAAUGAAACAUUAGGUUUCCAAAGAUGAAGAUAUAGAUGAGAAUGGUGUUAUGGAACUUUAGAAGAUUGACCUUUCGAAGAAAUUACCUAGUUUGUUUUUUGGAUAGUUUUAUUCUCAAGUUUAUAAACUUGUGAAACUUCCUUUUUGGGAUGGGUAGACUUUAGAGACUUAUGAAACCUAUGCUUUUGUGUGUUAAUUUUUCUAUUUUGAUACUAAGUUAAGCAUACCACUUUUUUAUGGUGGUUUGGUAUACUUUGCAUUUAUAAGUAAGUCUAUAUUUUUCACUAUUGAUAUUUUUACAGUAUUAUAUUAGCUUAGAUAUGUAUGCAUAUAAUAAAUUGUAUAAAAUUUUAAUUUUAGGUAAACUCGUACGAGUUUUCGAGUCGAGUUUAUCUAGAUAAAACGAGUCGAGGUAAACUCUCAAGUUGCAAAACCUUCCUUGCAAAGAACCAAAAACACAACUGCCGUAAAAGUGAUAGAUAAAUUAUUAUGUAACAAUUAUAAAAUGAAGAAAUACCACUUUUAGAAUUCAACUAAUCACCACAAAAAAGAAAACCUUUUGACUAUACAGGAAUUAUUAGCCCACGGUAAUCUUAAUAUUUUUAGGAAAUUUGUCCAAGUCAAAACAAUAUAGUUAAUAAUUAGCAAAACAAAUCACAGCAACCAAUUUAGUGAACAUUAGAUGUAAGACAUUUCCAUAAACAUUCAAUUCAAGAUCUAAGUUUCAAUCACACACAAAACAAAGUUCAACAAGGCUUGUGAGGUUUAGAUAUUAGGAUAUGUACCUUGCCUCUUGUGGAUGGUUUCAAGAGGAGAAUAGUUUAUAACUUACAAUGGAGUUGAUCAAAUCAUACUCUUGUAGACUGAACCGAUGAAUUCCUCCAUUUUUAGGUAUUUGCCAUCUUCCUCUAAACAAAAGUUCACCCAAUAUUUGGCUCUCUCAAUGCUCACUAGACCAAUUAUGUACGAUGCUUCGACGGAGUUUCUGGAUCUAUCAUACAUGUCGCAUAACAUAGAACCAACGUUAGUGCUACUAAUUUCUCACUCAACAGUAUAAAGAAUUCUGAAAUUAGAAUCAGUAACAAGUAUUCUUUAUAAUAGUAAUACUAUGCCACAAAAUACUCUUAAGAUUGUAGGAGAAAGUAGACAUAAAAUUAUUAUAAGGUAAUAAGCAAUAAGAAAUAUUAGCAUCAAAUUAAUAGAACUCUAAACAUAAUAGAAUAGAGAACAAGUAAACUUAUCGAUUAUUGACUGAGGCGUGCAUGAAGUAUUGGGCUUAAGAGUAUUUCGCCACCUCGGAUGAAUCAUCCGAUGCGAUAGAUCUCAUAGUUAAUACUCUGCAGGAUACAACAAUCACUUUUUGCUAGCACCGCAUAUGAAUUAGCAAGGUCUCAGAAAUCACUUAUUUGGAUUGCUCAAGGGAACUCUAUUUUAGUUAUUAGCUAAUAGUAUAAACUAAAUGAAAUAAGAUAGAUGUCGAAGCAGCUAGCAACCCAUCUAUGUGUAUAGGUUCUCUCUUCUCUCUGUGCAGACUUCCCCAAACCCACUUAUUAAUAUUAUGUAAACACGUACAAAUUAAUUCCUAUGUAGGUGGUCAAAUGAAACCGAAAGUGUGGUAGAAUGAUUCAAAGCUUUCAAUGUUAUGACCAAGUGAAUUGCAACUACCAUUUUGACCAGGUAAUGUAAUAAAUAAAAAACGUGCAUGACUUGGAGUAUAAAUAGGAAACACAUAGGAUACCAAGUCAAGAGAAAAGAUAAUUAAUAAUAAUUAAUAAAAUAAUAAUAGAUAUAAUAUUACUUUAAAAUAAAUUAAUAAAUAAAAUUCCAACAAUAUGAUUAAGCUUAAGGUAUUCUAACUUCUAAGAUGCUAUCAUAGUAUGGAUGCAAACAAAUUUUUGGGGCCAUUAGCAUCCAAACAUUCACGACAAUAAAAGCUUUGAAGAUAAACACUAGCAUCCUAUUGAUGUUAAUUAGCAUUUACAAAGAUGAACGUCAAAAUUGAAGCUUAUUGUAUUAAAAGUGUAUCUAAAUACAAACGUGUGAUAAUUUAUAAAUUUGGUUAUUGUCUUGCACUUAUCCCCAUGUUUUAUGAUGUCUUGAGUGAUUGUAUGAUUUAUAGCAUCUAAUAGGUGUCUAUUUGAUAAUUUAUGAAUUUAAUUAGGUGUAAUUUUACAUAGCCAUUUUAAAUUAGUAAUGUUUGUCAUGGUUGGUUUUGUGAAACAGUUUGAAUAUCUAUUGUGGUGAUAUAAGAAGAUGCAGUGCUAGUAAGGAUUCUGGUGAUGUAGGAAGUUAUAGCGUUGGAAGGAUUCUAGUGUUGUAUCGUUGAAGGACGUUCAGUAUGGGUCGUACACUCGUACAAGCUUAGGUCUCUCAUUUGCCUUUGUGUGGAAAUGAAGCUUGAAGAAUUGUCUCCAAUGAAUAUUGUAGUAUGAGGAAUAAAAGAAUAUGUUGAAUUCCAAGAGGAUGAGACAAGCGAAGCACAUCCCAUAUGAAAAAUUAGCAAAUGACACACAUAAUGAUAUGUAUUUGCAUCAAACAUAAUGGUUGGAACCAAACGCAUGAAUAACAUCGUUAAAAUAAAAUAAAAAAACAAAUUCAAUAUCAACAUUAUCUCACGUCCUCUUAUACCAUGCCUACUUGUAUAUCAAAAUCACAAAAUAAUAAUAAUCCAAAUAACAAGAAAACUGUGUCUUUCCUCUAUGUUCACCAAUUUUGUGUAGUGUACUAAAUUUGUAUGUGGCGCUACCUGUGAAAUAAAAAUUUGAAAAUCAAUUUUGUUCAAGAAGAGGUUUACAAAUUUCUUGAAUGGGAGGGGCAUUCCACUGAGCAGUAAUAUUUUUCAACUGAACGAAAUCAUUAACACAAUCAUCAAAUUUCAAAGAGUGAAUUUGCUUCCUAGCAUUAGCAAAUUUCUUUCCAGCAACUUUAUCAAAAAUCUUCUCCCAACCAUCUUCCCAACUUUCAUGAGCAUCGCAUAGCUCAAGUGAACCAUCGGCCCAAUCGGUCCAACUCCACCCUUUCUCAACAAACAUCAUCACAGGCUCCACACACACACCCACGCAAAUCGGUUUGCAUGGUCUACAUUUAGUUCCACUUAAUGGACCAGGACUCGAUAAUGCCGCAACCGGUACACCGAACCGGGCCGGAGGAAAAUCAUAUUUCCGAUCCGAAACAAUGCAAAAAGGGAGCCGUUUUGUGAGGUAAUUCACAUUCUGAGUUGUGAGUUGGGCUUUGAACGCAGCUUCUGAAUUGAGAUCCGUGAAUCCAGCAGAAUCUAGUUUGGGAAUUAGAGAGAGACGAGAUAAUGCUAUUGUUGAGGUUCUAAAGUCACCAACACCGAACCGGUCGUUGAGUCCACCGUAUGAUGAGCCGGCUGGGACCAAAUAUUGACCCGGAACAAAAAAAUUUGGACCGAGUGGACCGUUCCAGUAGCCAUCUACUCGUGUGCGAAUUAUCCAAUCAUAUUUGAUUUUGUUUUUCUCUUGAUGUGAAUUUAUCAUUGUUAAGCAUCCUUCAACGAGGUCAAAAUAUUGAAUUAGUCCCUGCAAAAAUUCAUGCAAAUUUAAUUCAAUUCAAUAUUCCAGUUACUUGGUUGUUUUUGACACAUGUUAAUUGUAUUUUUAUGUACUCUUGCUUUUUCAAGCUAAAAAAAUUGACUAUUGGCUUUUCAAAAGCCUUGGCGUCGAAGAAAAGGGGGAAUUGUGGUUAGACCCGCCAACCCAACCUAACGGCCGCCUAAUUUUUCAGUUUCAAUUUAACUCUUAAACAAGAAAAAAUAAAUUAAGGUUAAUUAAAUCUAGAAGCCAAAGACUUUUAAAAUGGGAAUUCUGUCCUAUUAGGUCUCAAUAGUAAUUAAGAAUAAUAACUAGCUGCUGAGGAACAAAAGUACCACUAAUAACCGGUUGUUGUGACCAAAACGGUAGCAAGGUUAACGAGGGUCCUAAAGGUAAUGCUAACAUAAGUCCAACAUAAGUAAAAAGUAAUAAUUACACAAUUUUCUGUACAUUUUUAGUUGUUUAAACUAUACAUCAAAGAUACUUGUUAACAUUUUUCUUAUUCGUUUUGAGUUUUGUAUAAACUCUUACAAUAUUUUUCUUCGUAUAAGACGCAUUGAUACAUAGAUAUAUAGAAGACUUUGGAUGUUGUUUAGAAACUAUUUGUAAACUUGAUUUUUAAAAUAUGAGACUUUUUGAUGUACUGCAUCACUAAUGUAGACAUUUUAUAGUUUCAUAAAAUUGUAUUUGUAUUUUUUUUUUGUUAAUAAUAAAACUGUAAGUUAAUUCAAAGAAGAAGCAAAAACUAAAUUUUUUUUUUUUUAAAUAAUAUGUAUUCUGAAAUUUCUGAAAAAAAAUAUUUUUUUUAAAAUUAAAAUUUUCUUAAAAGAACAAGAAAUUAGAUUCUUUUUUAAUUAUAAUUUAUUUUCAAAAGUUUUAAAUUUAUAAAUUUCGAAAAUAUAAUUGUCAUUAUUUUCGAAAAAAAUUAAUAUAUAAUUUUCAAAUUAAAAAAAUCUAUUUUUCAAAAAUUUAAUUUUCACAUUUUUUUUCAAUUUUUUUAAUUUUAAUAGUUUUUAUGUCAAAAAAUUAAGUUUUCGAUAAUUUUAAUUUUCAGAUUUUUUUCGGAAAUAUUUUAUGAUUUUUAAAUUUAUUUCAAAAAAUUUUAAUUACGUGGACUGCCACGUGGCAAAUAACAUGCCAAGUCAGACAUGAAAUGGGGUCAGAGACCUUUUUCAAAAAAAAAAAAAAUAAUUUACAGGGAUGCAUUUCAAAGUUUUUUUUACAGGGACUAAAAUCAAAAUUGGUAUCGCUUUGGUCGCUUAAUUAAAAUUCAAUUUAUUUUGGUCCCUUAACUUAUCUCUGUUGCACAUUUUGAUCCUUUCCGUUAAUUUUAAUUCAAAAACGUUAGGUUUUCUUCAUUUUAUUCUGGAAUUUUUCUGGGAUUCUUAUUGUUGAAGGUUGAUGGAGAUGAUAUGAAGAUAAAAAAUGGAGAAGAAGAUGAAGAAAACCUAACGUUUUUGAAUUAAAACUAACGGAAAUGACCAAAAUGUGUAACGGAGAGAAAUUAAGGGACCAAAAUAAAUCGAAUUUUAAUUACGAGACCAAAGCAAUACUAGCUAAAUAGUUAAGGGACCAAAAAUGCAAUUAAGCUUAUACUUUUAUAAAAGUGAAAUUCUUAUAUGACUCUUUUGAACCAACAAAUUCACUUUAUAAAAGGAAGAAGAAAAAAAAGGUAAAAAGAAUAUAUAUACCUAUGCAUUUACUUGAAAAAUCAGAGAAAAAUAAAUUUGUGAUAAAGAUAGAUGUGGGCUACAUUGAAGCAAGUCACAAAGUGAUGAUGAUGGCCUAUAGAUAGCGAAUGAACACAGCAAAACCUUGCUUUUAAGUUUUAUCUCAUCAAAAGUGUUGAUGAAAUGUUUUUUAUUGAAAAAAUAAUAAAAUAAGGUAUUGAUUAAAAACUAUAAUAAAAAUUUAAAGAGAACCAAUCAUAAUUUCAUAAACAUUAACUUUACAAACAUUUUCAUUUGUGUUCAAAGUUACUUCACAUUUUGGUAUACUUUUCAACAUCAUAGCAAAAUGUAUGACCUACAAAUUCCUAAACAAAUAUAUUUUUAGAGGUAAGUAUGAUGAUUUUAACUUUUAAUAAAUUUCACAAUCAAACGUGUUUUUGAUAAUAACUUCCCAUCUAUCUCCAAAUAGAUAUCAGUUAUUAUCAACUUCUGUCCCACUCGUUAAUGACUAAUUACCUAACAACAUUUCCAACCAAACGUAAAUGGAUUAGGAAGCUAAAUGUGUAACAAAUAAUGGAUUAUCAUUAUUAUUUUCUCCUUUUUACGUUACCAUCCUAAAUAAACUUUCUGAAUGACAGAUGAUGACAAAGAAAAGUAGUUCCAUCGAACACCAAACAUGAAAAAAUGACAAAAAAAAUAUCCAACAGAUCUAAGUAAUAAUUUCAGGAAUAAUAAUAGAUUAACAAUAAUAAUACAAAAAUAAAAUAAAAAGGUAAAAAAGGGAAAUAGUCAUUUAUACCUGAAUUCCGUUAGGCGAGUUCUGCGCCGUGAGAACACGAACGGAAGACUCAUUCUCCUGCAACGGUUGAGGGUGAAAUAUGUUAACGGCGGCAACUUUUGGUGCAAGCUUCAACAAUGAGAAUUUGAACGCAUCUGAGUCUAAAGGACUAUGCAGAAAAAGAUCAGAAUUAGGAUACUCUUUUAAUAUCAUCUCCAAUAUCGAAGGACCAGUUAAUUCAAAUCUUCUAGCACCACCAACCAAACAUACAGCAAUUUUGGAUCGUAACAAUUCAUCUUUUGAAGGUGAAGAAUUAGCAGUGUUGAUAAAAGGAAGGUUGGAAAGAAGAUUCUGAACAGAAGAAAAGGAUGAAAGAGCGUUUAAAGUUGGUGCAUGGAAAAAGAAGAAUAUGAUAAAAGAAAAAAGAGGAAUUAUCAACACAAGGAUACGCCAAUUAAUAUCAGAAAACCGUUUAGUAAAUGGAUACAUUGAUUUUGUAGGACUCUUUAUCAUCUUCAACGCUGUUUGUUAUGUUUGUUUGAUUUUGUUUAUUCACAAAACCUUGGGGUUGAGGGUAUUAGAUUUUUGUUUUCUGGAAAGGUAAAAUAUUGAUCACGAAAAAUGUGAUGAAAUGAAACUAACAGAAAAUGAAAUAUAUGUGAGGUGACGAAUCAUGAAACAGAAGUGUUUUUGGUGGGGAGUUGGUAUAAGAAGAAUAUAUAGCGUAAUGAGAAAGUUUGAAAGAUAACAUUUGAGACGAAAUUGAACGAUGGGUGAAAAGUAAAAAACAGAGUUUCUCUGUUCAGUAACGUACUUACUGGAUCAGUAUAACUUAUUAAUCACAAUUUAAUCCUAUGAAUUAAUGUGUUUGUUUUGAAAUGGUAUCUCGAAUUUGGGCGGUUGGAAUUAGCUUAGGUUGGGUUGCACUUUGGUUUGGCAUGAGGUAUAGUGGAGUAGCUAUCAGAUUAUGUUGUUUUGGGUUAGUACAAUGCCUUUCGUACUUAUAGAUAAAUAUAGAGAGAUAGAUAGAUUCGUUUUUAAGAUUUAUAAGUAUUUUUUUUCCUUUCUUUCAUAAAAAUCUUUUCUGUUAAGAUAGUAGAUUUACAAGACAAAAACUCACUGACACUUUUUGUUAAAAGAUUUACUAAAUAUUGAUGACAAAUUAAUUGUCAUUGACCAAAAUAACUUAACUAUAAAAAUAAGUCAAAAUUACGAUAACUUGACUACAAAAAUAAGUCAAAAUUACGAUAAUAUUUUUAAAAUAUACUUAUAAAAUUAGAAAUACUUUGACCAAAGAAAAAUAUACAAUAAAAUUAAAAAUAUUAUGACCAAUAAAUACCGAUGACAGAUUAAUUGUCAUUGACCAAAAUAACAUAACUAUAAAAAUACGUCAAAAUUACAAUAAUAUUUUUAAAAUAUACUGAUAAAAUUAAAAAUGCUUUGACCAAAGAAAAAUAUACAAUAAAAUUAAAAAUAUUUUGGCCAAUAAAUACCCAUGACAAAUUAAUUGUCAUUGACCAAAAUAAUAUAACUACAAAAUUACGAGUAAGUCAAUUUAGUUAAAUUUGAGAGUGUCUUAUAAAUUAAUUUGUGAGUUAAAAAUACGAGUAAGUCAAUACGAGUUAUAUUGAAUAAGUCCCUACAAAAUGCAUGCAAAGUCAAUUUAGUUAAAUCUCGAGUAAAAUUUGAGAGUGUCUUGCAAAAUGAGAAAACAAGGAUGAAACCUGGAUUCCGUUAGGCAACUUGUGCGCCGUGAGAACACGAACAAAAGACUCAUUCUCCUGGAACUAUUGAGGGCGAAAUAUUUUAACAGCAGCAACAUUUGGCGCAAACUUGAGAAAUGAGAACUUGAAUGAAUCUGAGUCUAACGGACUAUGCAAGAAAAGAUCCGAAUUCGGGUACUCUUUCAGUAUCAUUUCCAAUAUUGAAGGUCCCGUUAAUUCGAACCUUCUAGCACCACCAACCAAACACACCGCAAUUUUGGAUCGUAACAAUUCAUCUUUCGAAGGUGAAUUAGCCGUGUUGAUGUAAGGAAUGUUGAACAGAAGAUUCUUUACGGAAGAAAAAGAUGAAAGAGUGUUUAUAGUGGGUGCAUGGAAAGAGAAGAAUAUGAUAAUAGAAAGUAGAGGGAUUAUCAACAUAACGAGACCCCAAUUAAUAUCAGAAAACCAUUUAUUAAUUGGACUCGUUAGUUUUUUUGGACUCUUUACCAUCUCCAAGGUAGUUGUUUGAUUUAUUUUUCUUCUUUCACAAAACCUUGAGGUUGAGGGUAUUAGAUUUUUGUUUUCCUCUAAGGUAAAUUAAAUAUUUAUCACGUGAUAUAUGUAAUGAUCAGCCUAGCAGAAAAGGAAGUGGUAAAUAUUUUAAAGCAACUUGUUUUAAUUAACAAGUAGUUCCUGGACGACCAUUCCUUGAAAUUCAAAUCAUAAGAUUUGUUUUUCUAUGAGUGAAAAAUCAUUUAUGUACAGCCACGCACCUCAUUUACAUAUUGAAAGAGAAAAAAUAGAGAGAGUUGUGUACCAAAUGUGAAAGAUUAAUGUUAUGAUAGGAAGAAGGGGAUAGAGAAAAUAUAAAGGGUUGAAUUGAUGUUGAAAAUUACAGGUGUACAAAGGGUAAAUAAUUAUUCAUCCCCACACGCUAUGGUAUGUUGCCAUUCAAAGAUUUUAUUUUAUUUUUGCUAUGAGCACCUUCCAAAAUAAUUUACUCUGGAAUGGUGUAAUAUAUAUGUUUUGAAAUGGUGUGUAAUUAGGGUGUGUAUUAUACAAGUUAAAAUGUCCGUUGGCAAAGGCUGAAGUAGCAUAGCUGCUUAUGUUGUUGUUUAAGAGUAGCACAAUGCUUUUGUGUCUACUGUUUUAUGGUGAGGCUUACGUUACCCUCUCUUAUUUAGAGGGUAAUUUACCCUCUCAUGAUAUCAACCAAUCAAAAUGUAAUAUACAUAGGUAACAUUAAAUGUCAAAUAAAUGAGUAUAUUUUUUCUAAAAUUAAAAGAGUUAAUCUUAAUUUUUUUUUUUUGAAGGAGAGUUAAUCUUAAUCAUAAGGUAACUUUUAAUACUUUUAAUUUUUAUUUAAUUUUUUUUUUUUUGAAACAACAAAUGAUUUAAUUUUUUUUUAUAUUAAGGUGUUCAAUCUUAAUUAAUUUACACUACAAGACUUAAAACAAAUUUUACAAGUCGGUGACAGUGACUUUGGGAGAUAUAUUUGGAGAUUCCAACAAAUCACGACACCAAUGUAGAGCCUAAUGGAUGUUAUCGUCCUUCUCAUACAACAUAUAAUCAAAUGCAAUAAAGUGUGUCAAAUCGGUAGAAGUGAUACCAAGUUGCAUAUCUGAUAUUGAAUCCCUGAAACAUUAAUGCAUAUAUCUAUGAGGUGCAUUAUAAAUAUGUUUGAUAGCAGUUGCACUUCACCCAUUUGUAUUAUGUAAAAUGGUCAUAAUAUCUUUUGGAAGGAUAAUUGAGGUUAUCAACUCACGAAGGCUUAAGCCAUCUCAUUGUUGUGUUCUCCAUCCCUAACUCUAAGGCUUAAAUUACCAAUACUCGACAAAUAAACGCUCACUCAAAACAUAUGCUCACAUUUCAUUAAACCAACUAUUUUAUAUUUGCACAACUUCUUGUACUCGAUAUAUGAACCUCAUAUUUCACAUGUCAAUGUAACAAAAAUAUUCUGACAUUUCAUCCUUUCUUUGAUUUUUCAACAACAAUAGUAAAUCCUAACUUCCUUACUUCAUCUCGAACCCAUGUCAACAAAUCGUCUAGUGAAGUAAACUUUCUUUCAGAGUUAAAAUGUAUCUAAUAAUCAAUAAAAUGAUUCAUAACUAGAGGGGGCACAUCGGCUUUGACACUGCUGUAAGGAUUAUAAACUGAAGAUCGAAGAACUUCGACUUUUGCAUUGUCAGAAGGAUUACCUAAAAUUUGAGGUGUGAGGUUUGACUUCACAUCCAUAUGAGGAACCUCGACUUUCACAUCAUCAAGGUCAUCCAAAACUUGAGGUGCAAGGUUUGUAUUCAUAUCGACAGACGGUUCCACAAUUUGAGGUGUGUCAAACUAGACGAGGGGUAUCAACGAGAGCAUCCAUAACUGAAACAGUGCAAACUACAGUCAGAAAUCUAGUCUAUUUAUGUGUCACCAAAAUUCAAUUUAUUUAAUCUAAAUUAUGUAAUUAAAAAAUAUGGAUUUUAUAUAAUCUGAACGGUGCCGACACAAAUUUGGUGACGUGAAUCAAACAAAAAUGCUUAGAAAACAAAUGAGGAAUAUUUUAUAGUCAUAUUGCCUUACAUUUAGACGAAAAUUGUGUGUUUGAAGUCCAUUGAUGCUCACACUGUGCUUUGAAAUCACGUUUUUUUGUUCGUCAAAAUGAGGGUAUUUUAGGAGAUGUAUGGGUGGAAGGUGACAAAGGUUAUAAGCCCAUAAGGUUCUAGCUUCUAAGAAAAACACACAUACACAUAAAGGGGGUUUAAAUUAUAUAUUCCGAAGGCGGAAAACACGCUCGGGAUUAUAUAAUUUGAUUUUUUUUUAUUUUAAAAAAGGAUGAAUUGUUAGAGAAGGGGUUCAAAAAGAUAAAUAUCCAUUUUAGAUUUUAUAAUCAUAAACAAAAUCUAAAUGAGGUCAAAUUAUUAAAUCGGAGGGCGCAAGAGAAGUGAACAUAUAGGAUGAGAAAAGAAAUUCCUUCAAAUUCUUUAUUCUAUCACCAACCCAUUUUACUUCUAAGAAAAAAUAAUAAAAAAUAUUUAAAUAUAUUUUUCGUCCUUUAUCUUUUAUCAAAAAUUCAUUUUGGUUCUUUAUCUUUGUCAAUAUCGUUUUACUUCUUUAUUUUUUUUUUUAAAAUCGUUUAAGCAUCUUUUUAAAAGUUUGAUAUCUCAAUCCUUUUUUUUUUUUUGAAUAAUGAUGUCUCAGUCCUUUAGAUAUAUCAAAAUGAAUGAAAAUAAGGACUAUAAUAUCACACUCUUAAAAAGAUGAAGGACUGCUAUGAUUUAGAGAAAAGAUAAAUGACCAAGAAGAAUUUUAGAAGUAGAUAAAAUAAAAUCCUCUCAAAAAAAAAAAAAGUAGAUAAAAUAAAACAAAAAAUAUAUAAGCCAAGAAAAAAAGCUAUCAAGCAGCAACCCAUGCACUACGGUGGCAUUUUUGGGUUUAACUCCGGACAGUGUAGCUGAAACUUUCCAUUCAUUCAGGUAUAGUCUAAGCAGCAACCAAGAUCAAAAGCAAUGCAAGCUGUAUCAUCUGGUAUCGGAUAUGGUCUCAAAUAUCAGGUCAAUUUCACAAUUCUCAUUAUUCACCCCCCACUCUCCAUUAAUUAAUCCAAUUAUUAUCAUUCCCUUUAAUCACUGUUUUGAUUGUCUUGUCUAGGCUAGAUGCAUAUCAGAUGUGAAAGCAGAUACAGAUCACACAAGUUUCCUCGCCGGAACUCUUAGCCUUAAAGAAGAAAAUGAGGUAUAUUAAUACACACGCAUGCUCCAAUUCAGUUUUCACUGGAUUUGAUCUUAAUUGAGUGAAUCGUUACAUACAUCACAUUUACAAAUUACAGGUACAUCUUAUUCGGCUUUCGGCAAAUGGAACCGAACUUUUCUGUGAGGGACUGUUUUCGCAUCCCAAUGAGAUCUGGGACCUUGUUUCUUGUCCUUUUGAUCAACGCAUUUUCUCAACCGUCUAUUCCAACGGUAUGAAAACAUGUCUGUUUACUUUAAUUUUCGUAGAUAGUUUGUGCUUCUCGAGCAUCAAUUUCUUUUACUGUAUGAUUGACUUAUUUAAGCAUAGGUAGGCUUUUCUGAUACUAUUUGAGAGAGCUUUUUGAAAUGACUUGUGACAUGUCCAUAAGCUGUUUUCGGCUUAUUUCUAUAAGCUCUCUGGGAUAGUUUAUGAAAAUAACUGUAGCUUAUAUCAAAACAAUUUGACUUUAUUUUCUUUGUUGUAGAAAUAACUUAUAUGUAAGCACUUAAUUAAACUUGUUAGAAACUAGAAAAACUUCUGAUUGCCUUUUGUUGAUAUAGGUGAAACCUAUGGAGCAGCAAUAUGGCAGAUUCCGGAGUUAUAUGGCGAGUUAAAUUCUCCUCAAUUAGAGAAAAUUACAUCUCUUGAAACUCAAUCUGGUAAGAUCAAAUGGUGAGUAUGCAAUUCCCUUGUGCAGAUUUCUUCGUUUAUAUAUAUAUAUAUAUAUAUAUUUUAUUUUUUUUGAAAACUCGGUAUCCGAUCCAAGAAUCGACUAAUCCGAGGGGACCAAUCCCACCGCCCACUUGCGGGGGUUUCUUCGUUUAUAUUGUUUUGCACUUAAGCUUCUACCAUAGACUGUCUCAUUGCCUAAGGUUUAGGAAGUUGUCAGAAGACGUUGAGAAAAUUUAUGUGCAGAAAUUAGUUUAAUUAUUUUGAUUAAGCUACACGUGAUUUCUCUAUUUCACACUGUUGGACUACUCUUUUUGGCUACGUCGAAAAUUUUGCUUGAAUUAUUUUACAACUUUCCUCUUUAGUAUAUGUUUGUUAUUCACAUUUAUAUGGUCUUUUACCCUUUCUUACUGAACAUUUACUACCAAGCAGUAUUCUUUGGUGGCCAACUGGAAGGCACGAUAAAUUGAUUAGCAUCGAUGAUGAAAACCUAUGCUUGUGGAGUUUGGAUGUUUCCAAGAAAACUGCACAGGUAUGAAGUUUAUGGUGUGCUAUAUGCAGUUUGUGAGAUUGAUACAUACGCACCACAAAAACACACGUAUGUUAUACUUGCAUACAUAUACAUAUCAGUUCAAAAUCCAAAAAAGAAAAUACAUAUCAGUUCAAAGUCACAAGUUAUUAUUAUUCAAGUUACCGUUACGUGUCAUAAUAAACCAACAAAUGAACCCUUACCACGAAGGGUAGGAAAACAUGCUGACUUGGGAGAGUAAACCAUGAAAGAUUAUCUGUUCUUGCAAAAAAGAACCAAAUAGUUUCUCUCUGGACUCUAGGCAUUUAAAAUACAAAAGUGAAGGGGAAAAUAUUUUAUAUUCCUGUAAUUGAUAUUUAUGAACAACUAAUUAGUUUGUAACUAUUACCGAAUCAUAAAAUGUUGUUUGAAUGAGAGGCAUUUUAGAAAACGAAGGGCUGUUGAUGAGUGAAGAUAUUGGCCAAUGGAUUUCUCCAAACAACUGUUAACCUGUGAUGCCACAGUUUAUGAUAUAGGCCACUGAGAACGGAUUACAUAUUGUCCAUAAGGGAUCUAAUUUUGUUCCCUGCAAGAGUUUAAUUUGCAUAGGAAAAGUCAACAUUGAUACUAAUUGCCAUUCUGAAUGCAAGCCAAACACCACAAAGUUUUAUACGAGGUUUCAUUAGGACCUAAGAUUUGGGGUUGGGACUUUGAUAAUCAUAUGCCUUUAUGUUGAUAGUCACUGCUUUUUUAAAAUCUGGUGGAAAAUUUAGUGAUUUUGACUUAGUACUCCACCCUCCUCUCAAAACAUACAAACAACAAAAACCUAG